GACGAACGCUGGCGGCGUGCCUAACACAUGCAAGUCGAGCGGAGUCGAUUGACGGAAGCCUUCGGGCGGAAGAUGGUUGACUUAGCGGCGGAUGGGUGAGUAACGCGUGGGCAACCUGCCUCGAAGACCGGGAUAACAGCCCGAAAGGGCUGCUAAUACCGGAUGUGGUCAAGGAUCCGCAUGGAUUUUUGAUUAAAGGGGAAACCCGUUUCGAGAUGGGCCCGCGUCCUAUCAGCUAGUUGGUGAGGUAAAAGCUCACCAAGGCGACGACGGGUAGCCGGCCUGAGAGGGUGACCGGCCACACUGGAACUGAGACACGGUCCAGACUCCUACGGGGGGCAGCAGUGGGGAAUCUUCCACAAUGGGCGAAAGCCUGAUGGAGCGACGCCGCGUGAGCGAAGAAGGCCUUCGGGUUGUAAAGCUCUGUCUGGAGGGACGAAGGAAGUGACGGUACCUCCGGAGGAAGCCACGGCUAACUACGUGCCAGCAGCCGACGGUAAAAGUACUCUAU
rnacentral:rRNA from 1 species